UACGUAGGGGGCAAGCGUUGUCCGGAUUUAUUGGGCGUAAAGAGCGUGUAGGCGGCCAUGUAGGUCCGUUGUGAAAACUCGAGGCUCAACCUCGAGACGCCGAUGGAAACCAUGUGGCUAGAGUCCGGAAGAGGAGAGUGGAAUUCCUGGUGUAGCGGUGAAAUGCGUAGAUAUCAGGAGGAACACCUGUGGUGUAGCGGCUUUCUGGACCAUAACUGACGCUGAGACACGAAAAGCGUGGGUAGCAAACAGG
rnacentral:rRNA from 1 species